UUAUCAAAUUGUCUUUUAUCGAACACAUGUUAUCCUUUUUAGAUGUAAUUGGCCAAGUUGUCAAUUGGUGAAGUGAAAAUUCAUGAAGUGAGUAAUUACCAAAUACUCAUGAAACUAUAUUUUUGAAUAAAUGUGAAUAUACAGGGAUGAAGGUUUAGCAUGUACACUAUGGGGUAGGUUUGCUGACAAUAUAUUAGCAGCCUGUGAAAACAAUCGUCAUAAGAUGGUGAUAUGUUUGCUGCGUUAAGCUAAAGUGACUUCUUUCAAAGGUAACCCUAACACAUUGUCAAUAUUAAAUUUUAUUAGAUAAAUAUAUAUGUUUUGUUUUUAUAUUAAUAAAUGUCUUUGUUGGAUAAGGUUUAAGAUCUGUAUCGAAUGCUUUUGAUAUGUCUUUACUUUUGAUUGAUCUAGCCUUGCCUCCAAUUGCUUACUUCAUAGCAAACUUGCCUAAUGAUGGGUUAGCUUUGACAAUUGAACAACCUGGUCAACCUGGUCAUAGAGAAGACCAAAAAUCCAAGAAAGUUGAAUACUAUAAAAGUUUCCUAGUGAAAUCGAUUGCCGAACUCCUAGAGUACAAAGAGGUAUUGUACUCUUAUUGAGAUACUGUUACAUAGGGAUUAUUAUAAUUUGUUUAAAAAUUCAUUCUCUAUAUGUUAUUGAUUAAUACCCUAUAUUGUAGAAGGCCAAUUUAGAAUCAUGUGUGCUGUCUAUGCUAUUGAUACCGAAUUUGCCUGUUACUACUUUGUAUGUAUAAAGUGUACUAAAACAUGCUACAAAAAGUCCCUAAAGUUGAGAAUGAAGUUCUUAAAAAGAACAAGAAGACUUUGUUAUGGUGUUCUGGAUGUAAUGAAAGUCACACCAAAGUUGAACCAAGGUACAGAGUAACUCUGUGUGUGAUGGAUACCACUGCACAGACCAAAUGUUUGUUGUUUGAGAAUGAUGCAAACAGUCUCAUACACAAUCAUCUCUUCAGCUUCUGGAUGGCCAUUUUGACGAGAUACAAGAUCCAACAAACAUCCCUCAAGAAAUUCAGAAUCUGGUCGGAAAGACUUUCCAAUUUGUUGGGAGUACUGAAAAGGAUAAUAUCAGAGAUGCAAGUGAUACAUACAAGGUUUGUCAUGCCUUUGUUGGUCUAGAAGUUGAGAAAGAUGACACUAUUGAACAUUCAAUGGGUGAUGGUGAUUUAGCCACUCUUGUGAGUGCAAAUGAGGAAAUUGGAAUGUUGUCAAACAGUAGUGUUGCUGAUGAAGAACUAACAACUCCUUCCACUACUCCAUCAUCAAAGCGGAAGGAUGAUGUGUCUGACGAUUCGUCUAAUAAUUCAUCAUCUUCUAAGAAGGCCUGUUUGGGUUCAAUUCCUCUUGCAAUUGAUGAUCAAAAUGAUGGAGAUAGACCAGCUGAUGGUUGAGGAGUGGUAGAGAAGAUCAGAAGAGAUUGGAUUGGAUAAAUCACUAAGUCGUCUAUUGUUUUUGAAGUUUUAAUUUUUGUUUC